GCCAUAGAAUCAUGGCGAUCAUGGUAUGGAGCAAAAUAACUGCUUCCCCAUGGAGAGAGAUGCUCCAGACAUCCAAAAAGCUGGUAUUUAGCCGUGGCCGAGAAAUGUAGCAGUAGCAAGCACAUGGCAGAGAGCAAGUUGACCACAUGCACUGGAGAGCCCACAUGAUCCGAGGAGCCAAGGGAUUCCGUACAGCCCAAUUAAAACCCCUUUGAUUCAAGAUAUCUAUGAAAGACUUUUCUGAUGUCGACCACGAAGACAAGUAUUCUCACUGAAAAUGGUGGUAGAAAAGAGUGGGGAAUCUACUGUGCAUAGAAAUAUUUCUUAUCCAUAGAUGCAUCAAAGGAUAGUACCGUUUGAAGAUUGGCUUCUCUGUGUUCAGUGCAUACUGAUAUUGAUUUAGCAAAGGUGUACUAACAUAGUUUGAUACUGUUUUAAAUUUGAAGUGCCAAGGAAAGGAUAAUAUUCUAAGGUGAUCAAAUUAGAGAGUGAGAUAGAUGAAGGCUUAGUAGGAAAAAUCUUUGAAGCAGUAGUUUUAUUUUUAUUUUUUUACAUUUAUUUACUGGGAAAAUCCAGCUGGACAUGUGCCCUUUCUCAGUGGAGGCCCGGGGAGAAAAGCUCCAAGUAAUACAUUAGCAUAAAAACAAAUCAGACAAGUAUUAUAUACAUUAAAUCAACAAAAACAUUUGGUGGUAUUAACAGUUGUAAAAAAAAGCUGCGCACAGUAGGCUUAUUUAACAUUAAAAAUCCUAGUCCCAGCAUGAUUUCAAAGGGCCACCAACAAGUUAUAGAUAAUGAUCUUGUGUAUUUUUUCAAAGCAUCAUGGAUUUUGAGAUCUUUGUCAUUGAGCUACAUAUCUCUUUAAAGAAUCUUUCUGGGAUCUUUUCAAAAGUUUUAAUACCAUGUUUGAUCUAAAGUUUUAUCUUUUUUUUUUCAAAUGCCUAGUUGCCCACCUUUAAAGAGAAGCAAAAUGAUAGUGGUAAGUAAUAAUACAUUUAAAAAUGUGGUAGAAGAGACUCCAGUUUACUGCAACACAGUUCCAUAAAAUUUGACUUUAGGUUUCUAAACCAAGGGUAAGGGGGAGUCAAAAAAAUGAGCCUGAGCCACUACGCAGCUUAUGUUACUUUGGUAUUGAUAUUGACAUGAAGCAAUCGGAACCGAAGAAAGCUUGUCUGAAUGUUGGCUAUGCACAGGAGUGCUUUAUAUCAUAUCAUAAAAGAGCCAUGCCCAGUGCCUUUGUAGGGGAUACUAGACUGCUAAUAAAAUUCUGGUCAGAAAGAAAAGAUAGGUGGGAUACAACCCUAACUGUCAUAAUUUUAUGAAUCACCCCCAAAUAAUACACAGCCAUCCACUUGACAGUAAACUAGUGGCAAAAGAUGUGCAUGUAGGAUACUAGACCUUUAUACUGUCCUCCAUAACUGGGACAAGAAUAGAACUACACUGUCUUUUAAAAUCUUGAACCUUGCAGAGGUAAAACUGAGAUUUCAAGGUUUGGAGAUAUGCUCUUACCUUAGAGGUACCAUCAUCCCCAGUCUUCCAGGAGUGUGAAUAUCAUGAGGUACAUCUGUAACAUCUCUAAUUCUAUUUUAUGAUGACUCUGGGGUAGAAUAAAGGUCCAAAAAGACUGUAUUGGAAAUAAAGAUUCUUUUUUGGUAAGGCUCAGAAUCCACCACCUCCUUUGUGGUUUCCAGUCUGCCAGAUGCCAGUAAGCAUGAAACAGCAGUAGGGAAUAAAGUGGUGACCACAUGGACCCUCACAGAGAAUCUGCCUGUCAUGUCAUGAGAGUCCAAACAUGGGUUAAGUCUUCAUCCAAAGUACUCAACAUCUGCUCUCUUGUUUAGGAAGGAGCUCCGACUCCACAUGCUCUUUGAGCAGAAAGAACUAUGACAGUAAAUGCUUCAGAAUGUACUUAUCUACAGGCAGAGGCUUGGCAAACAGCUGAACUAACAAUUCAAGAACAGCUCCUUUUUCCAGUGGCUUCUUAAGGUCAGCUGAUCUAGGUAAUUACUGUAUACACCAGAAAAAUGCAAAGAAUUGACAUCCUUCAGUUGGCCCUGACAGGCACUCAAGACUGGCAUGAGACCACCUGUGAAGUGAACCUUUUGAAUAUUUUGCAUGGGAGCCAGCUGAAUCAUUUCUAGUGAUCUCUGUGACAGCUGGAGCUUGUUUCCCCUAAGGCAAAGGCCUGUAUAAAAAUGCCGGGGUUGGGGAAGACUGUAUGCUUCUAUAACAACUGAGAUUGCUUUAACCAUUUUUUCUGGAGAUCUAUGAUUCCAGAAAGAGAACAUCCCUUGAAAUGGCAAAGUAGACAGCCUGACAGUGUUCCUCAUUAAACGAGGAUAUUCAUAAUCAAAGUCAUUCUGUAUAAACAAGUAACUGCAGCAGUCGUCGUAGCCACUGCAUCAGUGCAGAGAGCCCACCUCCAAGAAUAUACGCCAUGGACUCUCUGGCAUCUAAUUCAGACAGAUUGCACACACCAUGAGCCACAAGGAAUGACAGAAAUCAAGUUGGAUGGCUAGAUUAAGGUCUAAAUUCAGAACAGAACACUCAGCCAACAUUUUCCAUGGUUUGAACUUUCCAUAUCAGAAGGGUGGCCAGAUGCUGAAGUUACUGAGUCCAGUUUUUGCAGAAAAUUUAGGAGCUAUGAAUUCAGCCCUAGGAUUCUUAGAAGGUGAGACUACUUUGUGGAGACACAAUAAAACUGUCAGUCUUCUUGUGGCGGAGAUAGAAUAUGGAGGAUUAAGGUUGCAAAUAAAACAUUUGUAUGAACAACCUUUACAUGAAAGUGCAAUCUGUGGCUUCUUCCUCACCCAGAUAGGGACUAGUCCAAUAAUGGCCUUAGGAAAUGCAAGCUCUUUCCAAAGGAAGGCUAAUCUGGGGACAGAAAGCAGCAGAGGAAGACUUACUAUCUCUGUUUAUUAGAAAUAAGUCCCCUGCUAUGAAAAAAGGAGAGAGAGGCUAGCACUGACUAGCCUCUAAGGAGGCAAAUGCUGGUAGAGUGCUAGAUGCAUGCAUUGGAA